UCUAGAGCUAAUACAUGCUGAAAACCCCGACUUCGGAAGGGGUGUAUUUAUUAGAUUAAAAACCAAUGCCCUUUCGGGGCUCACUGGUGAUUCAUGAUAACUUCUCGAAUCGCACGGCCUUGCGCCGGCGAUGGUUCAUUCAAAUUUUCUGCCCUAUCAACUUUCGACGGCUGGGUCUUGGCCAGCCGUGGUGACAACGGGUAACGGAGGGUUAGGGCUCGACCCCGGAGAAAACGCCUGAGAAACGGCGUUUACAUCCAAGGAAGGCAGCAGGCGCGCAAAUUACCCAAUGCCGACACGGCGAGGUAGUGACGAGAAAUACUGAUACAGGGCUCUUUUGGGUCUUGUAAUUGGAAUGAGUACAAUUUAAAUCUCUUAACGAGGAACAAUUGGAGGGCAAGUCUGGUGCCAGCAGCCGCGGUAAUUCCAGCUCCAAUAGCGUAUAUUAAAGUUGUUGCAGUUAAAAAGCUCGUAGUUGAACCUUGGGCCUGGCUGGCCGGUCCGCCUCACCGCGUGCACUGGUCCGGCCGGGCCUUUCCCUCUGGGGAGCCGCAUGCCCUUCACUGGGCGUGUCGGGGAACCAGGACUUUUACUUUGAAAAAAUUAGAGUGUUCAAAGCAGGCCUAUGCUCGAAUACAUUAGCAUGGAAUAAUAGAAUAGGACGCGUGGUUCUAUUUUGUUGGUUUCUAGGACCGCCGUAAUGAUUAAUAGGGACAGUCGGGGGCGUCAGUAUUCAAUUGUCAGAGGUGAAAUUCUUGGAUUUAUUGAAGACUAACUACUGCGAAAGCAUUCGCCAAGGAUGUUUUCAUUAAUCAGGAACGAAAGUUAGGGGAUCGAAGACGAUCAGAUACCGUCGUAGUCUUAACCAUAAACUAUGCCGACUAGGGAUCGGACGGUGUUAUUUUUUGACCCGUUCGGCACCUUACACGAAAGUACAAGUUUCUGGGUUCUG
rnacentral:rRNA from 1 species